UCGAAGAAGGGAAAUAGAGGAUGACUUGUAGAAAGUGAAUAUAUGUAUAGAAGAGGAAAAUAGCUUUGGAGUUGCAGAGAUCGCGCAAUGUACGAAGAAGAAGAGAGAGAGAAAGUGACAGAGAGAGAGGAUUUUGGGUUUAGCCUAAAAAUAAAAAUAAAAAGAGAGACUUUGUUUUGGGUUGAAGAUUCAAAAAGUUUCAGUAUUACUAAUUCAGUAAAGUGUAUUUCACUACGAUCAUAUAAAUAGUUAUGAUGGUGGUUAUUUAUUGAAUUUUUAAAUUUAGGUGCUAUUUUUGUUGAGCCAUUUUAGUUUUGGGUGUUAUACUCGGCUCAAUUGCAAAUAAAGUCCCAGAACACUUGUUCUUCUCCUUCAUAUUACAUUCCACUCUCCUUCAGAAACUUAAUUGUCGAAUCAAGGUUCAAAAUUUGAAAACUGAGACUUUACAAAGCAUAAUCCUGCCAUGUUGCUUCAUUUGCUAGAAGGUUUGCCCAUUGGAUUAACACUUGUGUCACUACCCAGUUACCUUUCUUGAACAUACGUCUUUCCAAAAUUGAUAUGGGUUUUGUCAAAAUUUUCCCUUCAUUAGUGCAUUAGGGAGGAUCUUGAAAUGCCAUAACCUUGUCACUUAUCUUUUUUUUCAAUUGGGAGACAUGAAACACAGGAUAGAUUCUGGAGUCACUAGGAAGACAGAGCUCAUAAGCUACUUCCCCCACCUUACGAAUUACUUUUUAAGGACCAAAGAAUCUGGCAGAUAACUUCAAAUUCUUUUUCACGGCUAUUGAAGUUUGGCGAUGAGGCUGCAAUUUUAAGAAGACCCAAUCCUAGACUUCGAAUUUCCUCUCGGUCCUCUUAGUGUCACCAUAGUUCUUCGUUCAAUUUUGGGCUUCUUCAAAUUAUCUUGCAAUAUCUUGUUCAUCAAUUGUCUUUCUCUCAAUACUUAGUCAACGACAUCCAAUUUCGAUUAAGCCACUAAUUCAAAAGUAGGCUGGGGUGGAUCAUAACCAUAAAGGGCUUUGAAAGGAGUCAUUCCAAUUGAAGUAUAAAAGUUAGAAUUAUACCAAAAUUCUAUUAAUGGUAGCCAUUUGCUCUACUUAGAUGGUUUGUAUCUCUCCAUACAAUAAAGGUACGUCUUCAAGCAUCUAUUAAGCCUAUCAGAUUGACCAUCAGUUUGGGAAUGAUACGCUGAACUUGGCUUUAAUUAGAUAUGCAAUCCCUUAAAUAGUUCCCUCCAAAAGGUACUGAUAAAUAUAGGAUCCCUAUCUGAGACAAUCGAACUAGAAAGGCUAUGUAAUUUGCAAAUAUUGUCUAAAAAGACCUGUGAAAUUUGAGCAACAUUGUAGGGAUGACUAAGCCAAAAAAGAGUGCAAAUUUUAUAUACUUGUCAAUUACCACUAGAAUUGAGUGCUUCCUGUUUGAUUUUGGCAGAGCCUUGAUGAAAUCUUUGGUUAAAUGCUCCCAUGCCUUAGUCGGAAUUGGCAAAGGUUGAAGUAGUCCAGGAUAAAGUCUUGAACGUGGCUGAAGCAUUAGUGAGCCCAAAUGAUAUCACCCUGAACUCCCAAAGGUCUUGAUGAGUUUUGAACGUCGUUUUGUGUUAUCCCUUUCUUUCAUUCGAAUUUGAUGGUAACCCAACCUUAGAUUCAAUUUGAAAAAAUAUUGAGCUUCUUGUAAUUCGUCCAGUAGAUCCUCCACAGCUUGUAUUGAAUAUUUGUUUUUAACUAUUAUCACAUUGAGUUUUUGAUAGUCAAUGCAAAAUCUUCAGUUGGAAUCUUUUCUUGACUAAUAAAAUUGGUGAAGCAAAGGCAGAAACACUGGUGGUUACUGUUUGAGCCUUAAGCAUUUCUGCCACAAUACUCUCAAUUAUAGUUUUUGUUCAAAAUAAUAUUGAUACGGCCUAAGAUUAAUGGGCUUGGAUCCUGGCAGCAACUCAAUUGGGUGGUCGCAUGAGCGGGCAGGUAGAAAUUCCAUGGGCUCUUGGAAAAGAUCUGUAUAGCGACCCAACAAGGGUUCUACAAUUUCAAGAAUGGAUUGUUUCUCCUAUUUUGCCUCAAUUAUCAUUAAUUAUGUAACAUAGUUGCAUUGCCCUUUUAUUUAAUAGCUUUAUCACAUCUGUUGUUUGCA